GCAGGCGUCGUCCGACGGAUGAGGGCACAGAGCUACGAACUCUGAGAUGGAGGUUCGAUUCCUUCCGCCUGCACCA
rnacentral:tRNA from 1 species